rnacentral:rRNA from 1 species
UACGUAGGGUGCGAGCGUUGUUCGGAGUUACUGGGCGUAAAGAGCGCGCAGGCGGUCGUUCAAGUCGCGUGUGAAAGCCCCCGGCUCAACUGGGGAGGGUCACGCGAUACUGAUCGACUCGAAGGCAGGAGAGGGAAGUGGAAUUCCCGGUGUAGUGGUGAAAUGCGUAGAUAUCGGGAGGAACACCAGUGGCGAAGGCGACUUCCUGGCCUGUUCUUGACGCUGAGGCGCGAAAGCUAGGGGAGCAAACGGG